rnacentral:rRNA from 1 species
GGUUGAUCCUGCCAGUAGUCAUAUGCUUGUCUCAAAGACUAAGCCAUGCAUGUCUAAGUAUAAAUGAUAUACAGUGCAACUGCGAAUGGCUCAUUAAAACAGUUAUAGUUUAUUUGAUAAUCGAAUUUACAUGGAUAACCGUGGUAAUUCUAGAGCUAAUACAUGCUGGUUAGCCUGACUUUUAGGAAGGGCUGUAUUUAUUAGAUAACAAACCAAUAUUCCUUGUGUCUAUUGUGAUGACUCAUAAUAACUGAUCGAAUCGCAUGGACUUUGUCCGCGAUAAAUCAUUCAA